AUUGAACGCUGGCGGCAGGCUUAACACAUGCAAGUCGAGCGGGGAUUGGGUGCUUGCACCUAAUCUUAGCGGCGGACGGGUGAGUAAUGCUUAGGAAUCUGCCAUUUAGUGGGGGACAACAUUCCGAAAGGGAUGCUAAUACCGCAUACGCCCUAGGGGGGAAAGCAGGGGAUCUUCGGACCUUGCGCUAAAUGAUGAGCCUAAGUCGGAUUAGCUAGUUGGUGGGGUAAAGGCCUACCAAGGCGACGAUCUGUAGCGGGUCUGAGAGGAUGAUCCGCCACACUGGGACUGAGACACGGCCCAGACUCCUACGGGAGGCAGCAGUGGGGAAUAUUGGACAAUGGGCGGAAGCCUGAUCCAGCCAUGCCGCGUGUGUGAAGAAGGCCUUUUGGUUGUAAAGCACUUUAAGCGAGGAGGAGGCUGCCUGGAUUAAUACUCUAGGAUAGUGGACGUUACUCGCAGAAUAAGCACCGGCUAACUCUGUGCCAGCCGCCGCCGUAA
rnacentral:rRNA from 1 species